rnacentral:tmRNA from 1 species
GGGGGCGCCACGGUUUCGACGGGGAUGAUGAAACCGGGACUGCAUGCCGAGCUCUGAUAACUCGUAAAACUGCCAGACCAAAUCAUAAUCGCCAACGAUUACGAUUACGCAGUAGCAGCUUAAGCUGCUACCGUUCUGCCGGUCUUUUCCUGCGGGGCUGGACAGAACGCCAUUUAGCAGGAUAGUUCGCUUUAUUCUCCCAUCGUGCGGCGGGCGAAACUUUAGAUGGGAUCGUGGUCGGGCAACUUGAACCGGGGUGAUCCCGGCCAUUAAAUCUAAAUCCGGACUAAGCAUGUAGAGGUUCCAGGCGUAGUAUUUCCGGACGCGGGUUCGACUCCCGCCGCCUCCACCA